rnacentral:rRNA from 1 species
GGCCGGAUUGCCGAUGCCUGGCGCUACAGAGCGCCUUGGAGAGGAUAAGGAGGACGUCCCCGAUGUCGUGGACAAACCCUAGCUGCUUUUCCACUUCCCCUCGCUCGCUCUCCCCUCCACAACACGCGCCCGACACGCCGUCGCCGCCUCUCGUUGAUCCCGUGGCCACUGGCCUCCCCUCGUCGCGCCAAGAGGUCCAGGAGAACCGUCGUGGUCUACUUCGUCUACCCCGAGCACUGGAUCGAGCAAGGAAGGUCCGUACACUCGCCAUCGACCUCGUCUUCCACGCGUACAUCGCCGGCGUCCGGCGUCGAUUGCCGCCGCUCCGGUCCACCUCCGGCCUCCCCGACCUCGCCUUCGUGCUCACUACCCCGAGACCGAUGUUGCCCCUGUGAUCGACUACGUCGACGACGACCCCUCCUUGCCAGAACAACCAGGAGUCAGACGACGCCACUGGCGACUACUACUACCCGGAGGAUGCCUACUACUACGUGACGGCCGCUGACGACUUGGAGUAGUUAGGAGGCUCCCAGGCAGGAGGCCUUGCCUUUUCGAUCAUUGUUGCAUUUGUGCUAGCCUUCUUAAGGCAAUGUUGUUUAACUCAUGUCUGUACUUAGAUAUUGUUGCUUCCGCUGACUCUUGUGUAUUCGAGCUUAUGUAUUCGAGCCCUCGAGGCCCCUGGCUUGUAAUAUAAAGCUUGUAUUAUUUUAAUUUGU